AGUGAACGCUGGCGGUAGGCCUAACACAUGCAAGUCGAACGGCAGCACAGUAAGAGCUUGCUCUUACGGGUGGCGCGUGGCGGACGGGUGAGGAAUACAUCGGAAUCUACUUUUUCGUGGGGGAUAACGUAGGGAAACUUACGCUAAUACCGCAUCCGACCUACGGGUGAAAGCAGGGGAUCUUCGGACCUUGCGCGAUUGAAUGAGCCGAUGUCGGAUUAGCUAGUUGGCGGGGUAAAGGCCCACCAAGGCGACGAUCCGUAGCUGGUCUGAGAGGAUGAGCAGCCACACUGGAACUGAGACACGGUCCAUACUCCUACGGGAGGCAGCAGUGGGGAAUAUUGGACAAUGGGCGCAAGCCUGAUCCAGCAAUGCCGCGUGGGUGAAGAAGGCCUUCGGGUUGUAAAGCCCUUUUGUUGGGAAAGAAAAGCAGCAGGUUAAUACCACGAUGCUCUGACGGUACCCAAAGAAGAAGCACCGGCUAACUUCGUG
rnacentral:rRNA from 1 species